rnacentral:rRNA from 1 species
GCAUGCAAGUCGGACGGUAGAAAGGUGCUUGCACCUUUUGAGAGUGGCGGACGGGUGAGUAACACGUAGGUAAUCUACCUAGAAGUUGGGGAUAGCCUGUGGAAACACAGGGUAAUACCGAAUGAGACCAUGUAAAUGGUGAAAGAGGCUAAUGCCUCGCUUUUAGUUGAGCCUGCGGCUCAUUAGCUAGUUGGUGGGGUAACGGCCUACCAAGGCGACGAUGAGUAGCCGGCCUGAGAGGGCGACCGGUCACACUGGGACUGAGACACGGCCCAGACUCCUACGGGAGGCAGCAGCUAAGAAUCUUCCGCAAUGGUCGAAAGGCUGACGGAGCGACGCCGCGUGGACGAAGAAGGCCGGAAUGUUGUAAAGUCCUUUUCUCAGAGAAGAAUAAUGUGGGGAGGGAAUGCCCUACAGAUGACGUUAUCUGAGGAAGAAGCCCCGGCUAAUUACGUGCCAGCAGCCGCGGUAACACGUAAGGGGCAAGCGUUGUUCGGAAUUAUUGGGCGUAAAGGGCGCGUAGGCGGCUGAGCAAGCCUGGUGUGGAAGGCCACAGCUUAACUGUGGAGUGCGCUGGGAACUGCUUGGAUGCAGUUCAGGAGGGGAAUCUGGAAUUCCUGGUGUAGGGCUGAAAUCUGUAGAUAUCAGGAAGAACACCUGUGGCGAAGGCGAGAUUCUGGCCAUGAACUGACGCUGAGGCGCGAAAGCGUGGGGAGCGAACAGGAUUAGAUACCCUGGUAGUCCACGCUGUAAACGAUGUGCACUAGGUGUUGGCUGUUGUAACGGUCAGUGCCGAAGCAAACGCGAUAAGUGCACCGCCUGGGGAGUAUGCUCGCAAGGGUGAAACUCAAAGGAAUUGACGGGGGCCCGCACAAGCGGUGGAGCAUGUGGUUUAAUUCGAUGAUACGCGAGGAACCUUACCAGGGCUUGACAUAUGCAUGACGGUCGUAGAGAUACGGCUUCCCUUCGGGGCGUGCAUACAGGUGCUGCAUGGUUGUCGUCAGCUCGUGCUGUGAGGUGUUGGGUUAAGUCCCGCAACGAGCGCAACCCCUGCUGUCUGUUACCAGCACGUAAUGGUGGGGACUCAGACGGUACUGCCGGUGACAAACCGGAGGAAGGUGGGGAUGACGUCAAAUCAUCAUGGCCCUUAUGUCCUGGGCUACACACGUGCUACAAUGGUAUGUACAAAGGGAAGCGAUCCCGCGAGGAGGAGCUAAUCCCAAAAAGCAUAUCAAAGUUCGGAUCGGAGUCUGCAACUCGACUCCGUGAAGUUGGAAUCGCUAGUAAUCGCGGAUCAGCAUGCUGCGGUGAUACGUUCCCGGGCCUUGUACACACCGCCCGUCACACCAUGAGAGUUGGCUGUACCAGAAGUCGUUGGGCUAACCCGCAAGGGGGGUAGGCGCCUAAGGUAUGGUUGAUGAUUGGGGUGAAGU